rnacentral:lncRNA from 1 species
CAAAACUGACAUAAUCAGCUUAAUAAAAGUGCAUACAAAUCCAAAGAUUUCAUAAUUCAGACAUAUUACAUAAAAUUAGUCGAUAUCUGACGACAUGCUUAGGCUGAUCAUGAAGUAGUUGUAAUGAUAGUUUUGGAGGUAAUUUUCAAUGGAAGGUGGUGCAAUCCGUAGGUGCUUUUCGUGCGUCUUGAAGAUUCCCUGGUCCUUGCAUGGUUGUUGACGGUGCCCUACAUGUUAAUAGAACAACAUUAUUGGUAAUGUUAUUGUUGUAGCAAAGGGUGACAAAACUUUAUAUAAUUUUGUUUGGAUAUGAGAACUGAUAGUACCUAUGUGUUUUUAUUACUAUUAUCCUCUUGUCCUUCA